CAGUCGCCGCGGUAAUACGAAGGGUGCAAGCGUUACUCGGAAUUACUGGGCGUAAAGCGUGCGUAGGUGGUGGUUUAAGUCCGUUGUGAAAGCCCUGGGCUCAACCUGGGAAUUGCAGUGGAUACUGGGUCACUAGAGUGUGGUAGAGGAUAGUGGAAUUUCCGGUGUAGCAGUGAAAUGCGUAGAGAUCGGAAGGAACAUCUGUGGCGAAGGCGACUAUCUGGGCCAACACUGACACUGAGGCUCGAAAGCGUGGGGAGCAAACAGGAUUAGAUACCCCCGUAGUCCCUGUCUCUUAUAA
rnacentral:rRNA from 1 species